rnacentral:rRNA from 1 species
AGUGAACGCUGGCGGUAGGCCUAACACAUGCAAGUCGAACGGCAGCACAGUAAGAGCUUGCUCUUACGGGUGGCGAGUGGCGGACGGGUGAGGAAUACAUCGGAAUCUACUUUUUCGUGGGGGAUAACGUAGGGAAACUUACGCUAAUACAGCAUACGACCUACGGGUGAAAGCAGGGGAUCUUCGGACCUUGCGCGAUUGAAUGAGCCGAUGUCGGAUUAGUUAGUUGGCGGGGUAAAGGCCCACCAAGGCGACGAUCCGUAGCUGGUCUGAGAGGAUGAUCAGCCACACUGGAACUGAGACACGGGCCAGACUCCUACGGGAGGCAGCAGUGGGGAAUAUUGGACAAUGGGCGCAAGCCUGAUCCAGCCAUACCGCGUGGGUGAAGAAGGCCUUCGGGUUGUAAAGCCCUUUUGUUGGGAAAGAAAAGCAGCAGGUUAAUACCCCGCUGUUCUGACGGUACCCAAAGAAUAAGCACCGGCUAACUUCGUG